UACGGAGGAGGCAAGCGUUAUCCGGAAUUAUUGGGCGUAAGGCGUCCGCAGGCGGCACUUCAAGUCUGUCGUCAAAGACUGGGGCUUAACCCUGGAAAGGCGGUGGAAACUGAAGCGCUAGAGUGCGGUAGGGGUAGAGGGAAUUCCCGGUGUAGCGGUGAAAUGCGUAGAGAUCGGGAAGAACAUCGGUGGCGAAAGCGCUCUACUGGACCGCAACUGACACUCAGGGACGAAAGCUAGGGGAGCGAAUGGG
rnacentral:rRNA from 1 species